rnacentral:rRNA from 1 species
GAGUUUGAUCAUGGCUCAGAUUGAACGCUGGCGGCAGGCCUAACACAUGCAAGUCGAGCGGCAGCACGGGGAGCUUGCUCCCUGGUGGCGAGCGGCGGACGGGUGAGUAAUGCAUGGGAAUCUGCCCGGUAGUGGGGAAUAACCCGGGGAAACCCGGGCUAAUACCGCAUACGUCCUACGGGAGAAAGCAGGGGAUCUUCGGACCUUGCGCUAUCGGAUGAGCCCAUGUCGGAUUAGCUUGCUGGUGAGGUAACGGCUCACCAGGGCGACGAUCCGUAGCUGGUCUGAGAGGAUGAUCAGCCACACCGGGACUGAGACACGGCCCGGACUCCUACGGGAGGCAGCAGUGGGGAAUAUUGGACAAUGGGGGAAACCCUGAUCCAGCCAUGCCGCGUGUGUGAAGAAGGCUUUCGGGUUGUAAAGCACUUUCAGCGGGGAAGAAGGCAUGGCGGCUAAUACCCGCCAUGAAGGACAUCACUCGCAGAAGAAGCACCGGCUAACUCCGUGCCAGCAGCCGCGGUAAUACGGAGGGUGCAAGCGUUAAUCGGAAUUACUGGGCGUAAAGGGCGCGUAGGCGGCCUGCCAAGCCGGAUGUGAAAGCCCCGGGCUCAACCCGGGAACGGCAUUCGGAACUGGCAGGCUAGAGUGCAGGAGAGGAAGGUGGAAUUCCCGGUGUAGCGGUGAAAUGCGUAGAGAUCGGGAGGAAUACCAGUGGCGAAGGCGGCCUUCUGGACUGACACUGACGCUGAGGCGCGAAAGCGUGGGUAGCAAACAGGAUUAGAUACCCUGGUAGUCCACGCCGUAAACGAUGUCGACCAGCCGUUGGACCCCCUGAGGGUCUGGUGGCGCAGUUAACGCAAUAAGU